UUGGAUGCUAACUCUCCCCACUGUUUCGUUUCCACAGAGCGAUCGUCCGCUUCCUACCAGCUUGGUUAGGCUGGUUGGGGGGCAGCCAUGGGAUGCACCGCUUCGGUCUUCGGGAUUCCUUUGGGGCGUCGAUUUCCAUUUGGGCUGGUGCCUUACGAAUCGCGCCGUUCGUUUAGUCUUCAUCUCAUCUCAUCUCAUCUCAUCUGUCGUUGGUUCAGCCAUCUUUUCCAAAGUUCGUCUGAGAGAUUUUCGAUCUGCAAGAUCUUCCAUCGUUUCUCUUCAGGUGGUGUUUUGCUGUUUUAGAUAGAGCUGUUUGGUGGUUGUUCUUGGUUCUGUUAAGCAAGAGUCUAUUGCUUGGGUUUUUAAAUUUUUGUGCAUAAUGCACAAAAGGACUAGAAAUAGCAAACGAAAUUGGAUCAUGAUGGGCAACACGAUUUGUUCAGGAUGACUCUGUAUAUACAUUUUUUUCUGAUUAAUUAAGGGUCGAGUCGAGAUUAUGAAUGAGAACUCUGUGAUGAGUUUUUGAAAUUCUCCGUUUUCUACUUUACAAGAAAAAAUGGAAAAUUGUUAUUGAUUCUAUGAGUAUAAUAUGUUUAGGCACUGUCUUUAUGG